rnacentral:rRNA from 1 species
UGAAUACGAGACGCUAAGGCGUCGAAGUAGUGUAUGUCAUACUUCCAAGAAAAGCUUGCACUGUCAUAGAUAAAAAACGCCUGUACCAUAACCGACACAGGUGGGUAGGUAGAGUAUACUAAGGGGCGCGAGAUAACUCUCUCUAAGGAACUCGGCAAAAUAACUCCGUAACUUCGGGAGAAGGAGUGCCUUAUUCUUAAGGUUGCAAUAACAAGAUCCAAGCAACUGUUUACCAAAAACACAGGUCUCCGCUAAGUCGUAAGACGAUGUAUGGGGGCUGACGCCUGCCCAGUGCCAGAAGGUUAAAGAAGCUGGUUAGCAUUUGCGAAGCUAGUAACUGAAGCCCUGGUAAACGGCGGCCGUAACAAUAACGGUCCUAAGGUAGCGAAAUUCCUUGUCGGGUAAGUUCCGACCCGCACGAAAGGCGUAAUGAUUUGGAUACUGUCUCGGAGAGGGGCUCGGUGAAAUAGACUUGUCUGUGAAGAUGCGGACUACCUGCACCAGGACAGAAAGACCCUAUGAAGCUUUACUGUAACUGAAAUUGAAAUUGGACUUUAUUCGCGCAGUAUAGGUGGGAGGCUUUGAUUAUAAUCUUGCGGGAUUAUUGGAGCCAUUAGUGAGAUACCACUCUUGUAAUGUUAGAUUUCUAACUUUGAAUCAUUAUCUGGUCAAAGAACAGUUUCAGGCGGGCAGUUUGACUGGGGCGGUCGCCUCCUAAACGGUAACGGAGGCGUACAAAGGUUUCCUCUGAACGGUUAGAAAUCGUAUCUAGAGUGUAAAGGCAUAAGGAAGCUUGACUGUGAGACCUACAAGUCGAGCAGGGACGAAAGUCGGUCUUAGUGAUCUGACGGUACUGAGUGGAAAGGCCGUCACUCAACGGAUAAAAGUUACUCUAAGGAUAACAGGCUGAUCUCCCCCAAGAGUUCACAUCGACGGGGAGGUUCGGCACCUCGAUGUCGGCUCAUCGCAUCCUGGGGCGGUAGUACGUCCCAAGGGUUGGGCUGUUCGCCCAUGAAAGCGGUACGCGAGCUGGGUUCAGAACGUCGUGAGACAGUUCGGUCCAUAUCCGGUGUAGGCGUUAGAAUAUUGAGAGGAGCCUUCUUUAGUACGAGAGGACCGAGAAGGACAUACCUCUGGUGUACCAGUUAUCGUGCCAACGGUAAACGCUGGGUAGCUAUGUAUGGAGUGGAUAACCGCUGAAAGCAUCUAAGUGGGAAGCCCACCUCAAGAUAAG